GAGAGAGAGAGCGAGAGACCUGGUUGUGAAACGAAAGCAGGGGGAAGACGACAUCUGAAAAACUUCACAAAACAAAGAACUGAGCAUGAGUCAUAACAACAUUUUUCAUAUUCUGGGAACGUAAACGUGAAGAGCCUCAGGCACGGACAGGACUGCCCAUAACUGUGGCCUUCGCGCCCCCUGCUGGUGGACAAUCGACACUGCCAUCAAAACUUCCCAGUGGUACGGCUACUGUAUAUCUAGACAUCGAAGCUUUAAAUGGUGCACUCUCUCCGCCCCCUCCCUCUCCCUCCACACCUGAACGGGAAGGCCCUGUAGAAGAUGUCCAGGGGGCGGGGCCCGGCG